rnacentral:rRNA from 1 species
AGAGUUUGAUCCUGGCUCAGAAUCAACGCUGGCGGCGUGCCUAACACAUGCAAGUCGCACGAGAAAGGGGCUUCGGCUCUGAGUAAAGUGGCGCACGGGUGAGUAACACGUGACUAACCUACCUUCGAAUGGGGAAUAACUGAGAGAAAUCUUAGCUAAUACCGCAUAAUACCUACGGGUCAAAGCAGCAAUGCGUUUGAAGAGGGGGUCGCGGUCGAUUAGUUAGUUGGCGGGGUAAUGGCCCACCAAGACGAUGAUCGAUAUCCGGCCUGAGAGGGCGCACGGACACACUGGAACUGAAACACGGUCCAGACUCCUACGGGAGGCAGCAGUGGGGAAUUUUGCGCAAUGGGGGAAACCCUGACGCAGCAACGCCGCGUGGAGGAUGAAGUAUCUUGGUACGUAAACUCCUUUCGAUGGGGAAGAUUAUGACGGUAC